rnacentral:lncRNA from 13 species
AUGUGCACACGUGUGCACACACCCGCCUGCCCACAGGUGCACCUGCACACGCAUGUGCAUGGAUACACAUCACACGUCUAUGUGAACACGUGUGCACACCCGCCUACCCAAAGGUGCACCCGCACACCUGCACACACAUGUGCAUGGAUACACAUCACACAUGCCUAUGUGAACAUGUGUGCACACAUCCACCUGCCCAUAGGUGCACCUGCACACACACGUGCACAGAUACACAUCACACAUCCCUAUAUGCACACACAUGCACACCCGCCUGCCCAUAGGUGCACCCGCACACCUGCACACACACGUGCAUGGAUACACAUCACAUAUGCCUAUGUGAACAUGUGUGCACCCGCACACCUGCAUACACACAUGCACAGAUACACAUCACACAUGCCUAUGUGCACACACAUGCACACACACCUGCCCACAGGUGUACCCGCACACGUGCACACACACGUGCAUGGAUACACAACACAUGCCUAUGUGCACCCACAUGCACAUGCCCGCCUGCUCACAGGUGCGCCUGCAUACCUGCACACACACAUGCACAGAUACACACAUCACACAUGUCUAUGUGCACACACAUGCACACACCCACCUGCCCACAGGUACGCCUGCACACCUGCACACACACAUGCAUGGAUACACAUCACACAUGCCUAUGUGCACACACCUGCACACACCCGCCUGCCCACAGGUACGCCUGCACACCUGCACACACACGUGCACGGAAACACACAUCACACAUACCUAUGUGCACACACAUGCACACACCCACCUGCUCACAGGUGCGCCUGCAUACCCGCACACACACAUGCACGGAUACACACAUCACACAUGCCUAUGUGCACACACAUGCACACGCCCGCCUGCCCACAGGUGCGCCUGCAUACCUGCACACACACGUGCACGGAUACAGACAUUACACAUGCCUAUGUGCACACACAUGCACACGCCCGCCUGCCCACAGGUACGCCUGCACACCUGCACACACCAUGCAUACAUCCUCAGCCCCUUUCUCUGGAGCAGCAGGGAGCAUGUGAUUUGUCCAAGGUCCAUAGCAGGAGAGUCGGCCACUGA